GCUUGGCCUGGUGAUGGACUCUCUGGGAGACUUUUCUCUGUGGCCUCUGGGUAGGCCCUGCUGUGUGCCAGUGUAGCCGGGGGAAGUUAGGAGGCGGAGUAUUUGGUUUCCCCCGUGGCUGUGAUUCAACAUUUUACAAGCAACUCAGGGAGGGAAGGGUUCCUUUAGCUGACAGCUACCGUCAAGGCAGAGACUGAAGGCAGUAGCUUGAGGUGGAAAGCAUGGAGGAGCUGCUGGCUGGUUCACUCCCAGGCUCACGCUCUGCUGGUGUCUCAGCCCACGUCCACCUGCUCAGGCUGGGCCCUUCCCCGUCAUUUUACAACCAAGACAACCCUCCAGAGGUGGCCAUAGGCCACACUGACCCAGGCAAUCCCUCACUUGAGACCCUCUCUGAUGACUCUAGGCUGUGACAAGUUGACCUCUGAAGUUCACCAGGACCAACAGGGACUUUCUUUUUGACUGGUUCCUCAUUUCUACCUCUUCAGUGAAGAGACCAGUCACUAAUGCACUCCAAGCUGUGAAGUCAGAAUGCGUACCUAGGGUCCAGCUUACAAAGAAUUCCGUGUGAAGCCUUUGUUAUUGGAGGAGAGAGUGCCUGUCUCCAGAUGAUCAUCGUUGUGAAGAGCUGAACUUUAUACCAACCAGAUCCAGAUUUCACUUCCUGGCUACACUCUCCGACGUCACGACAAUAACUUGAGAUGCGACUCCACCAAGUUCACGGUGGAACAUUAAGGCUUCCUUACAGAGCAGUGGUGAGGGGUUAUGGGCAGAUAUGUAGACGAACUCAAAGCAGCCACACUGGAAAGUCUGUACCCGACCGAGGCCAUCCCCACGGCUGUACAAAUGGAACUCCCCUCCACCAUUCUUCCCCACUCUGCUCCGUCCCCCAAGACCGCUGCAGUCAGGGCAGUCGACUGGGUGGCUGAGUGGGUGGCAGGGGGUGGGGGUGGGGCUGAAUACUCAGGUGAGGGUCCCAUGACCUGCCACCCCUCCUCCUAUGAGGGAAGGCAGUCAAGAAGCCGAGCUGUGAUGAUCUUUUUCAGGCGGCUUAGCAGAACUCCUGAAGAUGGUGGUGGUCCGCCUGGAAGGACAUUCCUGCACAACACGGGGGCUCUGGCUUCGGGAACAGGGAAGUUCCCAGCCUUGGCCAGAAGCUGUCACGUGUUGGCAACUGGGAGGCUGCAUUGGAGGGCAGACGGAGCACGGAGCCAAACUGCACUCAAAUCUCAGCUCCAUAUACCUUGAACAAGUGGCUUAAUUUCUCUAUGCUUCCCUGUCUUGAUCUGUUAAAUUCAAGUACUAAGCCAGGCAUGGUAGUGCAGAUCUUUAAUGCCAGCCCUCGGGAGGCAGAGCUGGAGUUCCUGUGAGUUCCAGGACAGCCAGGGAUACACAGAGAGAUCCUAUCUCCAAAAAACUAUUAAAAAAAUUCAAUAUUAGCCUUAUACAGUUGUCGUGAUGGGUGUCUUAGUCACUGUUCCAUUGCCGUGAAGAGACACCAUGACCAAGGCAACUCAUAAAAGAAAGUAUUUGGGGGCUGGAUCACAGUUUCAGAGGGUCAGUUCAUCAUGAUUAUGGUGGGAACCUGGUGACGCAAAUGAGGCUGGAGCCUUAGCUGAGCUACAUCCUGACCAACAGGCCGAGAGAGACAAAGGGCCUGGCACAGGCUUUUGAAACCUCAACGCCCACCCCCAAUGAUGCACCUCCUCCAACAAGGCCACACCUCCUAAUCCUUCUCAAAUAGUGCCACACCCCGGUGACUGAACAUCCAAAUAUGUGAGCCUAUGGGGGCUAUUCUUAUUUACACACCACAGUGGUAAAAGGAGUUUAUGUGUAAAGAACUGGAAAGGAGAUGGCUCAGUGGGUAAAAACUUGCCUAGCAUGCACAAAGUGCAUGGUUCAACCCCCAGCUCUGCAUAAACAGGUGUGGUGGCACAUGCCUGUAAUCCUAGCACUCA